rnacentral:rRNA from 1 species
CCUACGGGGGGCUGCAGUGGGGAAUAUUGGACAAUGGGGGGAACCCGGAUCCAGCCAUGCCGCGUGUGUGAAGAAGGCCCUCGGGUUGUAAAGCACUUUCAGUGAGGAAGAACGCCUGGUGGUUAAUACCCAUCAGGAAAGACAUCACUCACAGAAGAAGCACCGGCUAACUCCGUGCCAGCAGCCGCGGUAAUACGGAGGGUGCGAGCGUUAAUCGGAAUUACUGGGCGUAAAGCGCGCGUAGGUGGCUUGAUAAGCCGGUUGUGAAAGCCCCGGGCUCAACCUGGGAACGGCAUCCGGAACUGUCAAGCUAGAGUGCAGGAGAGGAAGGUAGAAUUCCCGGUGUAGCGGUGAAAUGCGUAGAGAUCGGGAGGAAUACCAGUGGCGAAGGCGGCCUUCUGGACUGACACUGACACUGAGGUGCGAAAGCGUGGGUAGCAAACAGGAUUAGAUACCCUUGUAGUC